UACGGAGGGGGCUAGCGUUGUUCGGAAUUACUGGGCGUAAAGCGCGCGUAGGCGGACCUGCAAGUCGGGGGUGAAAGCCCGAGGCUCAACCUCGGAACUGCCUUCGAUACUGCGGGUCUCGAGUCCGGGAGAGGUGAGUGGAAUUCCUAGUGUAGAGGUGAAAUUCGUAGAUAUUAGGAAGAACACCAGUGGCGAAGGCAGCUCGCUGGAACGGUACUGACGCUGAGGCGCGAAAGCGUGGGGAGCGAACAGG
rnacentral:rRNA from 1 species